CUCGCUUCUCGGCCUUUUGGCUAAGAUCAAGUGUAGUAUCUGACAAAUAAGACACUACAAGUAAAAUUCAGUGAUUAACAUCUUCCUGCAGAAAACCCAUU